GCAUAGCUAAAUAUGGUGUUUUUUUCAGUAGUUUACAAAGCCAGACACCAUGCAAAAGUAAAGUCUUCUCUUGAAAAUGCCUACAAUA
ensembl:snoRNA